rnacentral:ncRNA from 2 species
UAACUGAAGAGUUUGAUCAUGGCUCAGAUUGAACGCUGGCGGCAGGCUUAACACAUGCAAGUCGAGCGG